AGUGAACGCUGGCGGUAGGCCUAACACAUGCAAGUCGAACGGCAGCACAGAGGAGCUUGCUCCUUGGGUGGCGAGUGGCGGACGGGUGAGGAAUACAUCGGAAUCUACUCUGUCGUGGGGGAUAACGUAGGGAAACUUACGCUAAUACCGCAUACGACCUACGGGUGAAAGCAGGGGAUCUUCGGACCUUGCGCGAUUGAAUGAGCUGAUGUCGGAUUAGCUAGUUGGCGGGGUAAAGGCCCACCAAGGCGACGAUACGUAGCUGGGCUGAGAGGCUGAUCAGCCACACUGGAACUGAGACACGGUCCAGACUCCUACGGGAGGCAGCAGUGGGGAAUAUUGGACAAUGGGCGCAAGCCUGAUCCAGCCAUACCGCGUGGGUGAAGAAGGCCUUCGGGUUGUAAAGCCCUUUUGUUGGGAAAGAAAUCCAGCUGGCUAAUACCCGGUUGGGAUGACGGUACCCAAAGAAUAAGCACCGGCUAACUUCGUGCCAGCCGCCGCGGUAA
rnacentral:rRNA from 1 species